rnacentral:misc_RNA from 1 species
GCGAAUUCGUUUCUCCGGCGGCAGCAGCAGCAACUGUGCUUUGCUUGGAACAACUUUUCCCUUCUCAAAUUACACAAAUUUUCCAUUUAAAACCAAAUCUUUUCUAAAGCUGCUUCCUUCAAGAACAUCUCUUAUCUUCACCACUCCUCAUUAUCGUUUAGUUACAGCAGCUCAACAUUCUUCUACACCUCAAACCAACCUUUCUGUUGAUUCUGGAGGUAGUGGCCGAAAUGGGUAUCCAUUGAAGGAUUCAAAAGUGGUUUUGAAAGGGAUGAGAUAUACUGAUCUUGAGAAAUGGGUUCAGUCAUAUGGUUAUAGGCCUGCUCAGGCUCUGAUGUUAUGGAAACGUCUGUAUGGGGAUAAUAUUUGGGCUCAAUGCAGUGAGGAAUUAGAAGGUUUGAAUAAGG